GCUGCACUGUCUCCAGCAUGCUGGCGGAGGAGUCCGUUGCACCCAGCUCGGCCAGUCUGCGGCUGGUGGCGCUCAGCUCUGACCGCAGGUUGGUCACCUCCUGACUGGCCGACUGAAUGGCCCCAUCGAUCCGGUCUUAAAAUUAUCCUUGCGGACUGACGAUUAGCUGAUCUGCCAAAUCAGCUGAUGAAGAAGAAUGACAACUUGCAAACUCAACCAAAGUAAUUCCACAAAGAAACACAGGCAAUGUUCAGCUGAAAAAUCAGCACCAAAUGUGGUAAUGAUCUGUUAUGAAAUUGUAGGCUGCUUCUAUCCUCUAACACAGCAUUAUAUCCCACUGAUAUGAACAGUUUCAGUUUGCAUUGUUUUAAUCUGUUAAGGUAACCUAAAACCAAUGAUGUACAUCUCACUGUACAUCUGACUUUGACCUCUUUCAUGAUUUCUUUGCAUAUUUAACAAGCUUAUUACAUCUCUUUCCAGUCAGAACUAAACCUUUAAAAAAUUUUCCAAAGUUCUUUGGUAGUUGUAUUGUGAUGAUAUAAUGUAUUUCACUUUGUUAGUUUUUCCAUAAGCUACUGACCAUCUGGGGUAAAGGACAUCACCUUUGCCUACCUGAUAAAGUCAGGUGUCAGGUGAAGACAGAAACUCAAAUGAACAGAUCAAACCUAAAGCAACCAUUAAUUGUGCCAAACAAUGCACCAUUAUUUAAACAGGCCAAAGAGUCCCACAGAACUCUUUUUCUAACUUAUACCAGGGGGAAUUUCCCUACUAAGCAGAACAAUAGAGUGAUCCAAAUACAACAAGCUUAGCAGCCUGAAUGAAACAUAAAUGCUUCUUUCUCUCCUUUGCAGGACUAAAUGGUGCUUCUCUUCAAAGUGUAUCCAGCAGUGUAAAUGCUUUUGUUUUUGAAAGAAGCUCAAUUACAUUGCCUCCUAAUAAUACAAAACAAUAUCUGACUAUGUCAUGUGUUGGACUUUAUCAUGUUUGGAAAAUUACAUAUCUUGCAUUUAGAGUUGUCUUUGGUUUCUUAUUAGUAGCUUUCUGUUUUAUUUUGAAUAUCUGGCCCUUUCCAUUCUGUGUUCUCUAUACGUUCUGUUUUGUUACUGUUUCUACGCUUCCAUGUCUCCUGAUUGGUUUUGAGUCUUUCUUAUAUCUAGUUAUUUUUUGUUUGUGUACUGUUAUUAGUAUCUGGGCUCUAUUUAGUUCCUGUUCUGCCAUUCAUUCUCUAUGAUUCCCUGUGCCUCUGUUCUCUGAUUGCGCUCUCAACUUUCACUCUGCUCUUUAGUUUAAUCUCUUUCUUGUGUUUAAUCUCUUUUUUGUGUUAUUCAUCAAUCCUGCUCCAUACGUUUUUAGUCCCCUUUGGUUCUUUUGUCACUGCUGGUUCAUCAGCUUGAUUCUGCUCAAUCCUGUUCUAUUCUUCCCCGUCUACGUCUGCAGUCCACCGUGUUUCCUCCAUGUUCGUGGUUUGUUUUGGGAUUCAUUAAGUUUCAUGAUCUUCACUCCAUGUCUUUGGAUUUUUGGUCCUUGGACUUUGUUUUUGUAAGCUGCUUUUUGUAUUGUUAAACAUCUUUAUUUUUUUGCUCCA